rnacentral:tRNA from 1 species
GCAUCAUCGUCGGCGCGGCCGUGAUGGCCGCCUCGCACGCGGCCACGGCGAUGGCGGUCGUCGGCGCGGUGCUCGGCACGCUGGUGGUCUAC